rnacentral:misc_RNA from 1 species
GAUGAAGAACGUAGUGAAAUGCGAUAAGUAGUGUGAAUUGCAGAAUUCAGUGAAUCAUCGAAUCUUUGAACGCACAUUGCGCCUUCUAGUAUUCUGGGAGGCAUGCCUGUUUGAGCGUCAUUAAACCUCUCUCAAGUAUGAUUACUUGGAUGUGAAGGAAGAGUACCUUAAACUUAAGGAGUGUUCUCCUUUGAAAUUGAUUAGCAGAUGGUAAUGUUAUUAAAUCCCUGAUGUUGUAAGAAAUAACAGUGGUUUUGUAGACUAUUAUCUAGCUUUAAAUUAUAAUUUUUACUAUGGUUGACCUCAAAUCAGGUAAGGAUACCCGCUGAACUUAAGCAUAUCAAUAAGCGGAGGA